AGAGUUUGAUCCUGGCUCAGGAUGAACGCUAGCUACAGGCUUAACACAUGCAAGUCGAGGGGCAGCAUGGUCUUAGCUUGCUAAGGCCGAUGGCGACCGGCGCACGGGUGAGUAACACGUAUCCAACCUGCCGUCUACUCUUGGACAGCCUUCUGAAAGGAAGAUUAAUACAAGAUGGCAUCAUGAGUCCGCAUGUUCACAUGAUUAAAGGUAUUCCGGUAGACGAUGGGGAUGCGUUCCAUUAGAUAGUAGGCGGGGUAACGGCCCACCUAGUCUUCGAUGGAUAGGGGUUCUGAGAGGAAGGUCCCCCACAUUGGAACUGAGACACGGUCCAAACUCCUACGGGAGGCAGCAGUGAGGAAUAUUGGUCAAUGGGCGAGAGCCUGAACCAGCCAAGUAGCGUGAAGAAUGACUGCCCUAUGGGUUGUAAACUUCUUUUAUAAAGGAAUAAAGUCGGGUAUGGAUACCCGUUUGCAUGUACUUUAUGAAUAAGGAUCGGCUAACUCCGUGCCAGCAGCCGCGGUAAUACGGAGGAUCCGAGCGUUAUCCGGAUUUAUUGGGUUUAAAGGGAGCGUAGAUGGAUGUUUAAGUCAGUUGUGAAAGUUUGCGGCUCAACCGUAAAAUUGCAGUUGAUACUGGAUAUCUUGAGUGCAGUUGAGGCAGGCGGAAUUCGUGGUGUAGCGGUGAAAUGCUUAGAUAUCACGAAGAACUCCGAUUGCGAAGGCAGCCUGCUAAGCUGCAACUGACAUUGAGGCUCGAAAGUGUGGGUAUCAAACAGGAUUAGAUACCCUGGUAGUCCACACGGUAAACGGUG
rnacentral:rRNA from 1 species